UUUCCUUCCAUUUUCUGCAAAACCAAAGCCAUACGUUUGCAACUCUCUUCACGCAAUUCCCACAGAAGCAUUUUCCCUCUAUAUUCUCGUCCAUUUUCCCGGAAAAUCUCCUGGAAUUCUUCAAGGUGUUCAGAGAGGACUCUGUCAAGAGAUAAUUUUAGCUCUAUAUUCAUCAAGUUCUCCUUAAAAGAGGAAAAAAAAUACAAUUUUUGGGUCUGAGAAAGGUGUUUGUAGCUGAAUUGUAGCUGUUGUUUUCCCUUUUUCUUUCCAUAUGUGAAUUGGGACUUUUCCUGGAUCAGCAGGAGCAAAUCCUAAUUUGGAGAUAGGGAUUUUUUCAUUUCUAUUUUUUUUUUUAGAUUGCUGGUGUUGUGAAUGCAUUUUUUUUUGUAUUGAAGAGAACCCAUUUGAUUUUUGUGUCAAACUAGGGAUUUGUGAGCUCUUUUCAUUGUAAUUUGCAUCAGAAUGGUGGUUUAUGUGUAAUUAAUUACUGGGUUACUGAUGGGUGGUUCUGUAAAAUAGCUAUGGUUUGGGAUGCAAAUUUUCUUUGAUUCCUUAUGUGUAUAAUUUGGUGGGAAAGUGACAAUACAAGUUAGGGUUUGACUUUUUUGAUUCAUAACCUUUUGGAGGCUUCAUGUUGGAUUUGUAUUUUAGGUAUGGUGUUCUAAGAUUUUGAUCUCCUUUUCGCGUUGUAAUUGAAUCGAAUUUGGGGCGAUUUCAAUUUGAAGUUAAGUUAUACUUUCAG
rnacentral:lncRNA from 1 species